rnacentral:rRNA from 1 species
UACGGAGGGUGCAAACGUUAUCCGGAUUCACUGGGUUUAAAGGGAGCGUAGGUGGCUUUGUAAGUCAGUGGUGAAAUAUUGCGGCUCAACCGCAAAACUGCCAUUGAUACUGCUUAGCUUGAAUCACGUCGAGGUGGAUGGAAUAAUACAUGUAGCGGUGAAAUGCUUAGAUAUGUAUUAGAACACCGAUUGCGAAGGCAGUUCACUAGGCGUGUAUUGACACUGAGGCUCGAAAGCGUGGGGAUCAAACAGG